rnacentral:rRNA from 1 species
GACGAACGCUGGCGGCGUGCUUAACACAUGCAAGUCGAACGGAAAGGCCUGCUUUCCCUUGUGGAUUGCGGGUACUCGAGUGGCGAACGGGUGAGUAACACGUGAGUGAUCUGCCCCCAACUUGGGUAUAAGCCUGGGAAACUGGGUCUAAUUCCCGAUAGGACUGCAGGGUGGUGCCUGUGGUGGAAAACGAUUUUCUAGUGGUUGGGGAUGAGCUCGCGGCCUAUCAACUUGUUGGUGGGGUAAUGGCCUACCAAGGCGGCGACGGGUAGCCGGCCUGAGAGGGUGGACGGCCACAUUGGGACUGAGAUACGGCCCAGACUCCUACGGGAGGCAGCAGUGGGGAAUAUUGCACAAUGGGCGGAAGCCUGAUGCAGCGACGCCGCGUGGGGGAUGACGGCCUUCGGGUUGUAAACUCCUUUCGACCGCGAGGAAGCCACCUGGUUGGAAGGGUGGUGACGGUAGUGGUAGAAGAAGCACCGGCUAACUACGUG